AGCGUAGCUCAAAGGUAGAGCAGUGGAUUGAAAAUCCAAAGGGUGUAGGUUCAAAUCCUGGCUCUGGCUU
rnacentral:tRNA from 1 species